ACGAACGCUGGCGGCUGCUUAACACAUGCAAGUCGAACGGAGUGGCGAACGGGUGAGUAACGCGUGAGCAACCUGCCUAUGACAGUGGGAUAGCCUCGGGAAACCGGGAUUAAUACUGCAUAGUCAUAGAUGGGCUCGCGUCUGAUUAGCUAGUUGGUGAGAUAACAGCCCACCAAGGGCACGAUCAGUAGCCGGUAUGAGAGGAUGAACGGGCACAGUGGAACUGAGACACGGUCCGAACUCUCACGGGAGGCAGCAGUGGGGAAUAUUGCACAAUGGGGGAAAGCAUGAUGCAGUGGCGCCGCGUGAACGAAGAAGGUAUUCGGAUCGUAAAGUUCUGUCCAAUGGGAAGCAGUACCAUAGAAGAAAGCUCCGGCUAAAUACGUGCCAGCAGCCGCGGUAAUUC
rnacentral:rRNA from 1 species